rnacentral:rRNA from 1 species
AAAUGAAUUGACGGGGGCCCGCACAAGCGGCGGAGCAUGUUGCUUAAUUCGACGCAACGCGAAGAACCUUACCAAGGCUUGACAUCACCCGGAAACGUCCAGAGAUGGGCGCUCCCUUCGGGGCUGGGUGACAGGUGGUGCAUGGCUGUCGUCAGCUCGUGUCGUGAGAUGUUGGGUUAAGUCCCGCAACGAGCGCAACCCUCGUCCCAUGUUGCCAGCACGCCCUUUUGGGUGGUGGGGACUCAUGGGAGACUGCCGGGGUCAACUCGGAGGAAGGUGGGGAUGACGUCAAGUCAUCAUGCCCCUUAUGCCUUGGGCUGCAAACAUGCUACAAUGGCCGGUACAGUGGGUUGCGAGCCUGUGAGGGGGAGCGAAUCCCUAAAAGCCGGUCUCAGUUCGGAUUGGGGUCUGCAACUCGACCCCAUGAAGUCGGAGUCGCUAGUAAUCGCAGAUCAGCAAUGCUGCGGUGAAUACGUUCCCGGGCCUUGUACACACCGCCCGU